rnacentral:tRNA from 1 species
UAUUAAAUAUAGGAUAAUAGUUUAAAUAAAACAUUUGAUUUGCAUUCAAAAAACAUUAAUUUUUU